CGUGUAGGCGGUCAAGUAAGUGGAAUGUGAAACGCCUCGGCUUACCCGAGGACCUGCAUCCCAAACUGCUUGGCUUGAGUAUGGGAGAGGAUGAGGGAAUUCCUGGUGUAGCGGUGAAAUGCGUAGAUAUCAGGAGGAACACCGGUGGCGAAAGCGCUCAUCUGGCCCAAUACUGACGCUGAGGCGCGAAAGCUAGGGGAGCAAACG
rnacentral:rRNA from 1 species